rnacentral:lncRNA from 1 species
UAUGGGAGAGAUGAAGCAUUAUGGGAGAGCUGAAGCAUCAUGGGCGAGAGGGGCUAGUUAUCUGAAGGUUUCAAAGAUUAGAUGGGAGGGAUCAAUUCCAAGCUCCAGGUCAAAGAUCAUCACUUACCUCACCCAGGUGACUUCCUAAAAGCUUGUCUGAAAUGGCUUGGCCACUAGCAUCUCUUCACAAGCUCCUGAUUAGACUCCAAGGAGCAGAUAAGUCAAGAAAAGGCUCCAGACACCCUGUAAGUCUCUAGCGUUACUUUUAAACACUUGUCAUGAAGCUGACCAGAAACCUAACUUUACUGAGGUGUCCCCAGCUGUAGUGGGACCGAGGUCUUUGCUCUGGCCCCUAGGCCUCUGCACUUUCUACAGUAGUGACUACACAGUCAUAGUCUCUCCCCUGACAUCAGAAUGCUACCUACCUUCACUCCAACGGACAGGAACGGGAGUUGGAACACAGUAAGCUGGAGAACAGCUAAGCAUUCCGAAGCUGGCUUCUCUGUGCCCUCUCUGCCUGGUUUCCCUCCGGAGCCAGGAAUGCACCAUUGGUGGACUGAGCACUUCCCAAUUUGUUAUUAAGCAAUUUCUUGGUGGAGGGGACAGGUGGGACUUCUGGGUCCCAGGAGGAAAAGGCAGAUGCAAGGAAGGAGAGGGACUUUCCUGCCAUGCUUUGGAGGAAGAAGAAGAAGACAACAAUCAGUUAAAUGUAUCUGUCACCAUCACCAAAGAAGUUUCGCUUUGCAGCAGAGACCAUUACAGAAAGCCACAACUUGUCAAAAUGCAGAGAACACCUGAUUGACAGAGAACCAAGUACCCGUGCUGCUGAUUCAAACACUCAGGCAUGACUUAGAAACCAUUCCAACAACGGGGCUGCAAGAAGCCAGAGCUUCCUCUCCUUUGAACCUGGAAGCCAUGGGAGGCAACCCCAGUGUUGGAAACACAAAUCUACUCCUAGUCCAGAGGGCCUCUGUCUGGCAUCAGUCUGUGCCACACUGAGUGUUGGUGUUCUUGCUUUGACUGAAUCAGUUUUCAAAUAAUUCAGAUGGACCCAGGACACAGCCAUGGAAAUAAGGCCUUUGAAUUCAUCCUGAUGAAUGGAGGUGUAGGACGGCGAUUGGGUUUGGGUAAAGGCUCACAGAGACUUCAGCACACAGCAUGGCGCCCACAGUCUUGUGACAAAUA